rnacentral:rRNA from 1 species
GAGGAAAAGAAACUAACAAGGAUUCCCUAGUAACUGCGAGUGAAGAGGGAAGAGCUCAAAUUUAAAAUCUGACAGUGUUUUGCUGUCCGAGUUGUAAUCUAGAGAAGUGCUGCCCGUGCUGGACCAUGUAUAAGUCUCCUGGAAUGGAGCGUCAUAGAGGGUGAGAAUCCCGUCUUUGACAUGGACUGCCAGUGCAUUUGUGGUGUGCUCUCAAAGAGUCGAGUUGUUUGGGAAUGCAGCUCUAAAUGGGUGGUAAACUCCAUCUAAAGCUAAAUAUUGGCGAGAGACCGAUAGUGAACAAGUACCGUGAGGGAAAGAUGAAAAGAACUUUGGAAAGAGAGUUAAACAGUAUGUGAAAUUGUUGAAAGGGAAACGCUUAAAGUCAGUCGUGUCGGCCAGGGAUCAACUUAGUUUUAUUAGCUGGGUGUACUUCCUGAUCUGAUGGGCCAACAUCAGUUUUGACUGCUGGAAAAGGAUAGAGAGAAUGUGGCACCUUUGGGUGUGUUAUAGCUCUCUGUCGGAUGCAGUGGUUGGGACUGAGGAAAGCAGCAUGCCGCAAGGCCGGGUUUCGACCACGUUCAUGCUGAGGAUGUUGGCAUAAUGGCUUUAAUCGACCCGUCUUGAAACACGGACCAAGGAGUCUAACAUGCCUGCAAGUGUUUGGGUGGCAAACCCGAGUGCGGAAUGAAAGUGAAAAGUUGAGAUCCCUGUCAUGGGGAGCAUCGACGCCCGGACCUGAGCUCUUGCAAAGGAUCUGCGGUAGAGCAUGUAUGUUAGGACCCGAAAGAUGGUGAACUAUGCCUGAAUAGGGUGAAGCCAGAGGAAACUCUGGUGGAGGCUCGUAGCGAUUCUGACGUGCAAUCGAUCGUCGAAUUUGGUAUAGGGGCGAAAGACUAAUCGAAUCAUCUAGUAGCUGUUCCUGCCGAGUCUCCCUCCAGAGAUAAA